rnacentral:rRNA from 1 species
AGGUUACUGCUAUCGGUGUUCGCCUAAGCCAUGCGAGUCAUAUGUUCGUAAGAACAUGGCGUACUGCUCAGUAACACGUGGAUAACCUGCCCUUGGGUCCGGCAUAACCCCGGGAAACUGGGGAUAAUUCCGGAUAACGCACAUAUGCUGGAAUGCUUUAUGCGUAAAAUGGAUUCGUCUGCCCAAGGAUGGGUCUGCGGCCUAUCAGGUAGUAGUGGGUGUAAUGUACCUACUAGCCCACGACGGGUACGGGUUGUGAGAGCAAGAGCCCGGAGAUGGAUUCUGAGACAUGAAUCCAGGCCCUACGGGGCGCAGCAGGCGCGAAAACUUUACAAUGCGGGAAACCGUGAUAAGGGGACACCGAGUGCCAGCAUCCUAUGCUGGCUGUCCGGGUGUGUAAAAUACACCUGUUAGCAAGGGCCGGGCAAGACCGGUGCCAGCCGCCGCGGUAACACCGGCGGCCCGAGUGGUGAUCGUGAUUAUUGGGUCUAAAGGGUCCGUAGCCGGUUUGGUCAGUCCUCCGGGAAAUCUGACAGCUCAACUGUUAGGCUUUCGGAGGAUACUGCCAGACUUGGAACCGGGAGAGGUAAGAGGUACUACAGGGGUAGGAGUGAAAUCUUGUAAUCCCUGUGGGACCACCUGUGGCGAAGGCGUCUUACCAGAACGGGUUCGACGGUGAGGGACGAAAGCUGGGGGCAUGAACCGGAUUAGAUACCUGGGUAGUCCCAGCCGUAAACGAUGCUCGCUAGGUGUCAGGCAUGGCGCGACCGUGUCUGGUGCUGCAGGGAAGCCGUGAAGCGAGCCACCUGGGAAGUACGGCCGCAAGGCUGAAACUUAA